rnacentral:rRNA from 1 species
ACGAACGCUGGCGGCGUGCCUAACACAUGCAAGUCGAGCGGAGACAGUGAGUAGCUUGCUAUGAACUGUUUUAGCGGCGGACGGGUGAGUAACGCGUGAGCAACCUUUCCCAGACAGGGGAAUAACACACCGAAAGGUGUACUAAUACCGCAUAAGACCACGGAAUCACAUGGUUCUGAGGUAAAAGAUUUAUCGGUUUGGGGUGGGCUCGCGUCCGAUUAGGUAGUUGGUGAGGUAACGGCCCACCAAGCCGACGAUCGGUAGCCGACCUGAGAGGGUGAUCGGCCACAUUGGGACUGAGACACGGCCCAAACUCCUACGGGAGGCAGCAGUGGGGAAUAUUGGGCAAUGGGGGGAACCCUGACCCAGCAACGCCGCGUGGAGGAAGAAGGUUUUCGGAUCGUAAACUCCUGUCCUUGGAGACGAGUAGAAGACGGUAUCCAAGGAGGAAGCCCCGGCUAACUACGUGCCAGCAGCCGCGGUAAUACGUAGGGGGCAAGCGUUGUCCGGAAUAAUUGGGCGUAAAGGGCGCGUAGGCGGCUCGGUAAGUCUGGAGUGAAAGUCCUGCUUUUAAGGUGGGAAUUGCUUUGGAUACUGUCGGGCUUGAGUGCAGGAGAGGUUAGUGGAAUUCCCAGUGUAGCGGUGAAAUGCGUAGAGAUUGGGAGGAACACCAGUGGCGAAGGCGACUAACUGGACUGUAACUGACGCUGAGGCGCGAAAGUGUGGGGAGCAAACAGGAUUAGAUACCCUGGUAGUCCACACUGUAAACGAUGAAUGCUAGGUGUAGGGGGUAUCGACCCCUUCUGUGCCGCAGUCAACACAAUAAGCAUUCCGCCUGGGGAGUACGGCCGCAAGGUUGAAACUCAAAGGAAUUGACGGGGGCCCGCACAAGCAGCGGAGCAUGUGGUUUAAUUCGACGCAACGCGAAGAACCUUACCAAGUCUUGACAUCCCUCUGACGGACUCUUAACCGAGUCUUUCCUUCGGGACAGAGGAGACAGGUGGUGCAUGGUUGUCGUCAGCUCGUGUCGUGAGAUGUUGGGUUAAGUCCCGCAACGAGCGCAACCCUUAUCUUCAGUUACUAACGCGUGAGGGUGAGGACUCUGAAGAGACUGCCGGGGACAACUCGGAGGAAGGUGGGGACGACGUCAAAUCAUCAUGCCCCUUAUGACCUGGGCUACACACGUGCUACAAUGGCCACGACAGAGAGAAGCGAAAUCGUAAGGUAGAGCGGAACUCAAAAAAGUGGUCCCAGUUCGGAUUGUGGGCUGCAACCCGCCCACAUGAAGUCGGAGUUGCUAGUAAUCGCGGAUCAGCAUGCCGCGGUGAAUACGUUCCCGGGCCUUGUACACACCGCCCGUCACACCAUGGGAGUUGGGAGUGCCCAAAGCCGGUGAGGCAACCGCAAGGAGCCAGCCGUCUAAGGCAAGACCAAUGACUGGGGUG